rnacentral:rRNA from 1 species
GACGAACGCUGGCGGCGUGCUUAACACAUGCAAGUCGAACGAAGAGCGAUGGAAGCUUGCUUUUAUCAAUCUUAGUGGCGAACGGGUGAGUAACGCGUAAUCAACCUGCCCUUCAGAGGGGGACAACAGUUGGAAACGACUGCUAAUACCGCAUACGAUCUAAUCUCGGCAUCGAGGAUAGAUGAAAGGUGGCCUCUACAUGUAAGCUAUCACUGAAGGAGGGGAUUGCGUCUGAUUAGCUAGUUGGAGGGGUAACGGCCCACCAAGGCGAUGAUCAGUAGCCGGUCUGAGAGGAUGAACGGCCACAUUGGGACUGAGACACGGCCCAGACUCCUACGGGAGGCAGCAGUGGGGAAUCUUCCGCAAUGGACGAAAGUCUGACGGAGCAACGCCGCGUGAGUGAUGACGGCCUUCGGGUUGUAAAGCUCUGUUAAUCGGGACGAAAGGCCUUCUUGCGAAUAGUGAGAAGGAUUGACGGUACCGGAAGAGAAAGCCACGGCUAACUACGUG